rnacentral:rRNA from 1 species
GAUCAUUACCGAGUUUACAACUCCCAAACCCCUGUGAACAUACCAACUGUUGCCUCGGCGGAUCAGCCCGCUCCCGGUAAAACGGGACGGCCCGCCAGAGGACCCCUAAACUCUGUUUCUAUAUGUAACUUCUGAGUAAAACCAUAAAUAAAUCAAAACUUUCAACAACGGAUCUCUUGGUUCUGGCAUCGAUGAAGAACGCAGCAAAAUGCGAUAAGUAAUGUGAAUUGCAGAAUUCAGUGAAUCAUCGAAUCUUUGAACGCACAUUGCGCCCGCCAGUAUUCUGGCGGGCAUGCCUGUUCGAGCGUCAUUUCAACCCUCAAGCCCAGCUUGGUGUUGGGACUCGCGAGUCAAAUCGCGUUCCCCAAAUUGAUUGGCGGUCACGUCGAGCUUCCAUAGCGUAGUAGUAAAACCCUCGUUACUGGUAAUCGUCGCGGCCACGCCGUUAAACCCCAACUUCUGAAUGUUGACCUCGGAUCAGGUAGGAAUACCCGCUGAACU